GACGAACGCUGGCGGCGUGCUUAACACAUGCAAGUCGAACGGAAAGGCCCUGCUUUUGUGGGGUGCUCGAGUGGCGAACGGGUGAGUAACACGUGAGUAACCUGCCCUUGACUUUGGGAUAACUUCAGGAAACUGGGGCUAAUACCGGAUAGGAGCUCCUGCUGCAUGGUGGGGGUUGGAAAGUUUCGGCGGUUGGGGAUGGACUCGCGGCUUAUCAGCUUGUUGGUGGGGUAGUGGCUUACCAAGGCUUUGACGGGUAGCCGGCCUGAGAGGGUGACCGGCCACAUUGGGACUGAGAUACGGCCCAGACUCCUACGGGAGGCAGCAGUGGGGAAUAUUGCACAAUGGGCGGAAGCCUGGUGCAGCAACGCCGCGUGCGGGAUGACGGCCUUCGGGUUGUAAACCGCCUUCGCCUGUGACGAAGCGUGAGUGACGGUAAUGGGUAAAGAAGCACCGGCUAACUACGUG
rnacentral:rRNA from 1 species